UGUGCCCUUGAGGCGUGGCUUCCGGAGCUAACGCGUUAAGUAGACCGCCUGGGGAGUACGGCCGCAAGGUUAAAACUCAAAUGAAUUGACGGGGGCCCGCACAAGCGGUGGAGCAUGUGGUUUAAUUCGAUGCAACGCGAAGAACCUUACCUGGUCUUGACAUCCACAGAAAUUUGCAGAGAUGCGAAUGUGCCUUCGGGAACUGUGAGACAGGUGCUGCAUGGCUGUCGUCAGCUCGUGUUGUGAAAUGUUGGGUUAAGUCCCGCAACGAGCGCAACCCUUAUCCUUUGUUGCCAGCGAUUAGGUCGGGAACUCAAAGGAGACUGCCAGUGAUAAACUGGAGGAAGGUGGGGAUGACGUCAAGUCAUCAUGGCCCUUACGACCAGGGCUACACACGUGCUACAAUGGCGCAUACAAAGAGAAGCGACCUCGCGAGAGCAAGCGGACCUCAUAAAGUGCGUCGUAGUCCGGAUUGGAGUCUGCAACUCGACUCCAUGAAGUCGGAAUCGCUAGUAAUCGUGGAUCAGAAUGCCACGGUGAAUACGUUCCCGGGCCUUGUACACACCGCCCGUCACACCAUGGGAGUGGGUUGCAAAAGAAGUAGGUAGCUUAACCUUCGGGAGGGCGCUUACCACUUUGUGAUUCAUGACUGGGGUGAAGUCGUAACAAGGUAACCGUAGGGGAACCUGCGGUUGGAUCACCUCCUUACCUGAAAGAA
rnacentral:rRNA from 1 species